UACGUAGGCAGCGAGCGUUGUUCGGAAUUACUGGGCGUAAAGAGUGUGUAGGCGGUGCUCUAAGUUCGGUGUGAAAUCUCCUGGCUCAACUGGGAGGGUGCGCCGGAAACUGGAGUGCUUGAGCGUGGGAGAGGAAAGCGGAAUUCCUGGUGUAGCGGUGAAAUGCGUAGAUAUCAGGAGGAACACCUGUGGUGUAGACGCUUUCUGGACCAUAGCUGACGCUGAGACACGAAAGCGUGGGUAGCAAACAGG
rnacentral:rRNA from 1 species